GGACGAAACUCUGGAGAGACUCAAAGGAGCACCGAAGGGGAAAACUAGAUUUAUAGUGAAACUCUCAGGUAAAAGAACGGAGAUUAUAUA
rnacentral:ncRNA from 2 species